rnacentral:rRNA from 1 species
GUAGGUGACGAGCGUUAUCCGGAUUCAUUGGGCGUAAAGAGGGCGUAGGCGGCCUUUUAAGUCGGAUGUAAAAUCUCCUGGCUUAACCAGGAGGGACCAUUCGAUACUGCUGGGCUAGAAGGCAGCAGAGGGAAGUGGAAUUCCCGGUGUAGUGGUGAAAUGCGUAGAUAUCGGGAGGAACACCAGUGGCGAAGGCGGCUUUCCAGGCUGUUAUUGACGCUGAGGCCCGAAAGCGUGGGGAGCAAACAGGAUUAGAUACCCUGGUAGUCCACGCUGUAAACUAUGGACACUAGGUAUGGGGAGUAUCGACCCUCUCCGUGCCGAAGUAAACGCAUUAAGUGUCCCGCCUGGGGAGUACGGUCGCAAGGCUA